rnacentral:rRNA from 1 species
UGGGGAAUUUUGGACAAUGGGCGCAAGCCUGAUCCAGCCAUGCCGCGUGCGGGAAGAAGGCCUUCGGGUUGUAAACCGCUUUUGUCAGGGAAGAAAUCUUCUGAGUUAAUACCUCGGGAGGAUGACGGUACCUGAAGAAUAAGCACCGGCUAACUACGUGCCAGCAGCCGCGGUAAUACGUAGGGUGCAAGCGUUAAUCGGAAUUACUGGGCGUAAAGCGUGCGCAGGCGGUUUUGUGAGACAGAGGUGAAAUCCCCGGGCUCAACCUGGGAACUGCCUUUGUGACUGCAAGGCUUGAGUGCGGCAGAGGGGGGAUGGAAUUCCGCGUGUAGCAGUGAAAUGCGUAGAUAUGCGGAGGAACACCGAUGGCGAAGGCAAUCCCCCCGGGCCUGCACUGACGCUCAUGCACG